rnacentral:rRNA from 1 species
CGUGAGCGGCGGACGGGUGAGUAACGCGUGGGUAACCUGCCUCGUACAGGGGGAUAACAGUUGGAAACGGCUGCUGAUACCGCAUAAGCGCACAGUACCGCAUGGUACGGUGUGAAAAACUCCGGUGGUAUGAGAUGGACCCGCGUCUGAUUAGGUAGUUGGUGGGGUAACGGCCUACCAAGCCGACGAUCAGUAGCCGACCUGAGAGGGUGACCGGCCACAUUGGGACUGAGACACGGCCCAA